rnacentral:lncRNA from 1 species
AAUGUGACGAUAGACAUGGCGUAGACUGUAGUCUAGACUGUAGGAUGACACACUGCAAGAACGACAACACUCUGUGUGAUUCCCGGACUGGAGAGUGUGUUGGAGGGUGUAAACCUGGAUGGAAAAAUACAACCUGUACUCAACAAUGUCCGUCUGGAAAAUAUGGAUAGGGGUGUCUUCAAGAAUGUAUUGACAGACAUUGCUAUGGCAGCCAACGAUGUGAUCUGUCCACAGGACAGUGUGUCGAUGGGUGCAUUGUUGGAUGGCAAGGGGUGUCCUGCAGCGAAGUUAAAACGGAUUCGACGACAGUUUUCAGAGUACCACAAUUUGUUGCUGGGGUCUCAGUUGCAUAUUGACAUGUCCCCACAUUGUAAUCCAAGAUGGCUGUCCAAUACAAGACUGGCUCCUGGACUGAACUGAAAAACAUUAUGAAUUCCUUCGAAUAUAAACAGAAUCACUCACUGCUUUAUGCCUGUACAGCAACUAUUUUGCAUAGUUUACUGCAGAAUUGUUCAACACUUCACUAAAUCCACUUAGACUGACAUCAGCUUUUCAACAUUACGAAGAUAAACUUUGAGAUUAGCAACAUACGUUUUCUAUAGAUUUAGUUAGUGGAAAAUGGUAGUUGUCUUGGAAACUGAACGUGUGAUAUCCCAGGAAUAAAGCA